GUUUUCUCUGAGGACACAGAAAAUAGCCAGCAAUAGACUAAUGAAAAUUAUUCAUGAAAACUAUUCGGUAAUAGGUACAACUGAAAAAUAAAAGUGAGGUAAUUUAACAGAUGAGAUAAAUUUAUAUUCCCUAAGUUCCUAAUAUAAAAUGGCACUCAUUGUACCAAACAGCAUAAUACAGCCUGGUGUUCAUUUCAGCUUGAGCAGAUAAUUUUAUAAAUAUAUAAAAAUAUCCAGAAUUGCCCACGCAGCACAUCUUGUGCAUGGAAAUAUAGAAUAAUAAACAAAAAUAUAAUUUCUCUUCAUUAUUUCACAUACCAGACUACUUUAAGGUAAACAUUUAGACUAUUCAUCACGACAACAAAGCUGCCAAGCUGGUACAUUACUGUUACUGAUAUCCACUCUUUGAAAUGUGAAAACAAACAAUGUUGUGUUAUAAAUUCAUGAUUUCAUUUCAAAUUUGAGAUCCCGUUAACUAAUAGUAUCAAAGUUACUUAGACGUGAAAAACAACAGGUGAUCUUUCCUUUCCCAUCCUUAAUCCAAAAUGAGACAAUUCUUGCUUCCUAGGAUAAAUACGUGAUGGGGCAGGAAGAGUGGUAAAAAAAUUCUGGUAGAGGCAUAUAUACUUGGGUGGGCAACCAUAUGAAAAAUCUAAAACUGAUAUGGCAACUAUGCAUUCAUAUUAAAAAAUUCUAAUGCAGACAUCUUCCAACUCAAAAACAGAUCUGAGAUGUCAAAUUGCACAGACAAAAUGGCAUAAGACCUAAUUCUAUAAAGCAAUAAUUUGUUGGCUUGUUUACUGAUGUGGAACUGUCUUGUAGUUGGACAAUAAACACGAAAUGUAGGUCUUCUUCAGUCUACAUAAAUUAUCUGAAACCUUAUAUAGAGACCACCACCAGCACCAGUCAGCUUUUUACAUACACCCAUAAACCAACCCCUCUGUUUUGCACAAAGUUCCUGUGACUAAUGUUUAACUACAGAGAGUAAACAAAGGAAAGAGAAAUAUCAAAAAGUAAAUGACUUUGCUGAGAAAAUGCCCUCUUUAAGAA
rnacentral:misc_RNA from 1 species